ensembl:lncRNA
ACAGUAAUAAAGGCUAUGUUGAUUAGCAUUAGAAUAUAAAUAAGCGUUAUUAUUUGGAAAAUACCAGAGAUGGCUUGAAGAACAAAUAUAAACCGUAUAUUGUCACGUCGUAUGUUUACUGUUCUAUACUGUUGGAUAUUUAAAUAAUUAACCAGACCGCGAACAGAUAAAAUCAGCCACGUAAUGUUGUUCAUAAAUGACAGGAUUCAUAUGUCUAUUAAAGCCCUGAUCACACUGUAACAUUCAGUUCUGCUGCUGCUGACCAGAGAGAGCAGUUUACGUACAUGAAACAUCUUUACGAAGUAUUUGAAGAAUUGUAUUGUUAUUUCUGUUACAGACAUUCAAAUAAACACAGAAGUACUGAAAUAAAACCAAAGUAGUUCGGAUAUAAACACUACAGAACUGAUCAAAAUAGAUUACACCUUUUUAAAGUUUUAAAGCUUCAAAUAGUUUGUAUCAAUUACAACGUAUUGCCAUUUUUCUGAUUUCUCUAGUGGAACGCGGCCCACUUGGAUGUGAUGUUAUUCCCAGCCUGGACAUCUGGUUUCCAAGUUGGAUCAACAGUCGAAUGGAUCAAGUGAUUCCAUGCUCUCAGCUGGGUCCAGGGAUGCCAUGUCUCCAUCAGGUGAUUCCCCACUCUGGCCAGGAUCUAGGGAUGCUGCAGCUUGAAUUGGAUCAAGUGAUUCCCCACUCUGGCCAGGAUCUAGGGAUGCCCCAUUCUGCAGUAGAUUCAGCGAUCCCUCACUUUUAGUUGGUUUACUAGGUCAUCAGGGUCGCCUGCAUAAAAAUGGGCUGGGACAGCAUAGUCGUCCAGCCUACUGUCGAGAAGGAUGAGCUUGUCAUUUUUUUCUGACACCCCAAUUAUCUCAAGUUCUUCCUCCUGGAUCUGCCGUGAAAAAUCGUGUACUGUGGAACCACAUUUAAUCCGCAGAUCCAGGAUGGGCACCUGUCCUCUGGUCAUCCUGGCGACUUCAACCUGGAAAAUGACACACAGUCGAGGACAAUACAGGUCUCUGAUUGUGAUAGAGGGGUGAUGAGCCAGGUGCACAUUGGGCAGUACAUUGGAUGCCUCCCGGAAUUUUUUUUAAUUUUUUUUAUUAAUUUGAUGCAUUUAUUAUUUUUUAUGACAUAUUAUAAUGUAUUAUUUAAAUAACUUAAUGAAUUUAUUUAUUUGUAAAUUAAUUUAUUACUUAUGAAAUAUUUCUAUUAUAAUAAUGCAUGUAUUUAAAUUUGUAAAAUGAACAUUUUUAUAAUGAACUUGUUUAUGAAUUUACUUUAUUUCUAAAUGAAGUUGUUUUUGAUGAAUUAACUUUAUUAUAAUAAUGUAUGUAUUAAAAUUUACUUUUUCCCAAUAAAACCUAACUUACUCUGGGCGGUUACUAGGGU